rnacentral:rRNA from 1 species
CCCUUAGAUGUCCUGGGCCGCACGCGCGCUACACUGACAUGUUCAACAAGCCUCCUAGUUCGACAGGAUUUGGGAAAUCUUUGAACGCAUGUCGUGAUAGGGAUAGAUCAUUGCAAUUAUUGAUCUUGAACGAGGAAUUCCUAGUAAACGCGAGUCAUCAGCUCGCAUUGAUUACGUCCCUGCCCUUUGUGCACACCGCCCGUCGCACCUACCGAUUGAAUGUUUCGGUGAAGAUUCCGGAUAGGACUUUUUUGAUUUAUUUCAAUUUUGUCUUAAAAGCUAUCUAAACCUCAACAUUUAGAGGAAGGUGAAGUCGUAACA